rnacentral:misc_RNA from 1 species
AACGCACCUUGCGCCUUUUGGUAUUCCGAAAGGCAUGCCUGUUUGAGUGUCAUGAAAUCUCAAUCCCCUCGGGUUUAUGAUCUGGGGCGGACUUGGACUUGGGCGUCUGCCGAUCCGUCGGCUCGCCUCAAAUGACUUAGUGGGAUUAGCAUCCACGGCCCGACGUAAUAAGUUUCGUCUGGUCAGGUGUGAGGCCCGCUCAGAACCCCCCCGCUUUGGCGUUAACACUUUUUGACUCUGACCUCAAAUCAGGUAGGGCUACCCGCUGAACUUAA